CCGGGGGGGAGGGGCGGCGAGGCGAGGCCUGCGGAGCGGAGGAAGACAAACAUAAAGAUGAAGUGCUUAAUUCAAGGUCACACAAUGUCGGGGAUGGACCUCCAGAUUUCCUUACUGACCUGCAUUAUCUUGUGGAUACCUGAGUGAAUUCCACACCACCCAUUUUAUAGAUGAAACCACUGAGACAUGGAGCAAUUGACUGAGUAGUCACUGCCCCACCCCUGCCUGGAGCCUCACACAUGACUCGCCUCCUCUCAGUGACCACAGGUGAGACGUGGUCUUGUAACACAGUGGUUAAGAAUGUGACUUUGGAGCCAGCCUGCUAGGGGCUGAAUUCUGACUCAGCCAUUUACUAACUGUGUGACCUUAGGUAAGUCAUUUACCUUCUUUGUCCCUCAGUUUCAUCUCGGUUAAGUAGGGAUAAUGAUAGCACCUAUUUUAUAGGGUUAUUGUGAG
rnacentral:lncRNA from 10 species